rnacentral:rRNA from 1 species
GAUGAACGCUGGCGGCGUGCCUAAUACAUGCAAGUCGAGCGAACAGACGAGGAGCUUGCUCCUCUGACGUUAGCGGCGGACGGGUGAGUAACACGUGGAUAACCUACCUAUAAGACUGGGAUAACUUCGGGAAACCGGAGCUAAUACCGGAUAAUAUAUUGAACCGCAUGGUUCAAUAGUGAAAGACGGUUUUGCUGUCACUUAUAGAUGGAUCCGCGCCGCAUUAGCUAGUUGGUAAGGUAACGGCUUACCAAGGCGACGAUGCGUAGCCGACCUGAGAGGGUGAUCGGCCACACUGGAACUGAGACACGGUCCAGACUCCUACGGGGGGCAGCAGUAGGGAAUCUUCCGCAAUGGGCGAAAGCCUGACGGAGCAACGCCGCGUGAGUGAUGAAGGUCUUCGGAUCGUAAAACUCUGUUAUUAGGGAAGAACAAAUGUGUAAGUAACUAUGCACGUCUUGACGGUACCUAAUCAGAAAGCCACGGCUAACUACGUG